rnacentral:tRNA from 1 species
GUGGUAAUAGUGUAAUGGUUAGCAUAGGGGUCUGUGGAACCCCUGGUCCGGGUUCAAUCCCCGGUUACCGCCCCA